UCCUACCACUCAGAGAGAACCACACUAACAUUUUGUUUCCUUUCAAAUUUGGUACUGUUUUCUAAUUAUCACAAUUCACACAAAUUAUCUCCUCAUUCUUUCAUUCAGUCCACAGCUAUAGAGCUGAGUGCUGGUGUGUGCGGUUCAGAUUCUCACUGCACUGAGAGUACCCAGAAGAACAAGUUCACUGGAGUUCAGAGCAGUUAGAUGUGGGAGACUUGACUUGGGCAACCUGAAUGGAGAAAGAGGGAAUAAGGAUGGCUUCCACAGAGCAGAAGGGCCUGCACCAGGAAGAUUGCAGGUGUUAGCCCAGUAUCCCAGUCUGAAGACGUCCGCCCUUUAUCUUUCACAGGGAUUCCCUUGAUAAAUCCCCUGCAAGUCUGAGCCUGUCCUGGCAUCUGCUUCCCAGAGGAUCCAAAUUAACACAGAUAACUUCCAUUUUGUAGGAUGAGAUAAUGAAGUCUACAACCAUCCAAACUCAAAAUCAUCUGUUGUCAAGGAAAUACAGUUUCACAUUGCAGUGGUAAGGACCAUGGGCUUUGGGUAGACCAGGGUGUGAGUCCUACCCACCAGCGGUAUGACCUUUAGGAAAUGUCUUAGCCCGCCCUGACCCUCUAUUUCCUCAUCCGUGGAAUCAGUGAUUCUUAACUGGGAACAAUUUUGUUUCCUCCGGGACAGUUUGCAAUGUCUGGAGAUUUUUUUGGUUGUCACAACUAGGGGGAGGGGAAUGGUUGCAGCUGGCACCUAGUUGGGUAGAAGGCCAGGGACACUGCUAAAUAUCCUACAAUGCACAGAGCAGCCCCUCCAAGACAAAGAUUAUCCAGCCCAAAAUAUCCAUAGUGCAGAGGUUGGAAAACUCUGUGUUAAAUGGGGAUGAUAAUAGUAAACUAACUCAAAGAACUAUUGUGAGGACUCAAUGGGAUCAUGUGUUCAAUAUCCCUCGCCUUCCUUGUAAACUCCACAAGGGCAGGAACCAGAUGAUGUAGAUCAAUGUUCUGUAUCAUCAAUGACUGGAUCAUAAAAGGCGCAAAGUAAAUUAUUAAUUGUUGAAAU
rnacentral:lncRNA from 1 species